rnacentral:rRNA from 1 species
UACGGAGGAUCCUAGUGUUAUCCGGAUUUAUUGGGUUUGAAGGGAGCGUAGGCGGGAGGUCAAGUCAGCUGUGAAAUGUAUCUGCUUAACGGGUACACUGCAGUUGAAACUGGUUUUCUUGAGUGCGUAAGAGGCAGGCGGAAUUCGUUGUGUAGCGGUGAAAUGCUUAGAUAUGACGAGGAACUCCUAUUGCGAAGGCAGCUUGCUGGGUCGUUACUGACGCUGAUGCUCGAAGGUGCGGGGAUCAAACAGGAUUAGA